rnacentral:rRNA from 1 species
AGAACGAACGCUGGCGGCAUGCCUAACACAUGCAAGUCGAACGUGAUCCAGGCUUCGGCCUGGUGAAAGUGGCAGACGGGUGAGUAACGCGUGGGAACCUGCCCUGUGGUAGGGAAUAACCGUGGGAACUGCGGCUAAUACCCUAUGAGUCCUUCGGGAGAAAGAUUUAUCGCCAUAGGAGGGGCCCGCGUCGGAUUAGGUAGUUGGUGGGGUAACGGCCUACCAAGCCUUCGAUCCGUAGCUGGUCUGAGAGGAUGAUCAGCCACACUGGGACUGAGAUACGGCCCAGACCCCUACGGGAGGCAGCAGUGGGGAAUAUUGGACAAUGGGGGCAACCCUGAUCCAGCAAUGCCGCGUGGAUGAUGAAGGCCUUCGGGUUGUAAAGUCCUUUCGGCGGGAAGAUGAUGACGGUCCGCAGAAGAAGCCCCGGCUACUUCGUGCCAGCAGCCGC